rnacentral:tRNA from 1 species
UCCCUGGAGGUCAAUGGUUAAGACUCUGCACUUCCACUGCAGGGGGCUCGGGUUCGAUCCCUGGUCAGGGAA